rnacentral:rRNA from 1 species
UACGGGGGGGGCAAGCGUUGUUCGGAAUUAUUGGGCGUAAAGGGCGCGUAGGCGGCUGUACAAGUCAAAGGUGAAAUCCCUCGGCUCAACUGAGGAACUGCCUUUGAAACUGUACGGCUUGAGGCCGGGAGGGGGUAGCGGAAUUCCCAAUGUAGCGGUGAAAUGCGUAGAUAUUGGGAGGAACACCAGUGGCGAAGGCGGCUACCUGGACCGGUUCUGACGCUGAGGCGCGAAAGCGUGGGUAGCAAACAGG